rnacentral:rRNA from 1 species
AGAGACAGCAGUCGCCACGGGGAAUACGAAGGGUGCAAGCGUUAAUCGGAAUUACUGGGCGUAAAGCGUGCGUAGGCGGUUUGUUAAGUCUGUUGUGAAACCCCGGGCUCAACCUGGGAAUGGCAAUGGAUACUGGCAAGCUAGAGUGUGUCAGAGGAUGGUGGAAUUCCCGGUGUAGCGGUGAAAUGCGUAGAGAUCGGGAGGAACAUCAGUGGCGAAGGCGGCCAUCUGGGACAACACUGACGCUGAGGCACGAAAGCGUGGGGAGCAAACAGGAUUAGAUACCCCUGUAGUCCCUGUCUCUUAUAC